CAUAUAGUCCCGGGGUUUGUCCCGAGGUUGGAGCUCUGGGAGAAGGAGUCUGGCUUAGUUUGAGAAAGUUAGCAAGAAGAGCAACAGAAGUGGGGACUUGAACGGAGAUGAGCACAGGGAGUGGGACAAAGGGACUGGAGAAGACAGCUUGGCAUGAACUCUCCUUGGUCAAGUGUGGUCGCUGCGUGGCUGUGCACCCUCUGUCCUGGCUCAGCUGCACCCCUCCAGUCCCUCCUCAGCCUCUCCAGGGGGUUGCAGCUUAGGCUUCUCUCUGCGACUAUCUGCCAGUCCUUAGGGACCACGGUUCAUAAAGGAAUCCUGAUGCACAUCCUGAAGCCCCAGAUUCUUCACUGACUACCUGCAGUCUUGGCUUAGUCAUUGAAUUGUGUGUGUGUGUGUGUAAGUAAUGGAAGUCUUAUUACCUUGCCCUGGCUGGCCCCAAGUAGCUGGGAUUAUAGGUAGGCCACUAUGCCUAGCUCAGUGACUGAACUUUCUGAGCUUCAGUUUUUCAUCUGUUCAGGGGGGUGAUGGAAUUAUCCCUACUCCUCAAGUUGCUCUGAGGAUUACAUCUGAGAAAGAGUUUUAAAUGUCUGGUGUAAUACGUGGCACAAGGCAAAUGCACCAUAGCUGGAGUUGUGGAGACUGAUGUAAGUUGUGUGUCCCUGGAUGGGACACAGGAGUCACAGCUUCUUGGACCCAGACCUUAAGUGAUGCAAGAGGGCAAGGGCUUUCCCAACAUCAACUGUGACCAUCUUUCAGCUGCCUUGCGGCUGGCUGAAAGUGUAUUCCCAUUCCCUGCUUCUGCUGAAACAGGGUUUCCUCUUCCCCAAAGAGCUUAGCGGAGCCAAAAGACAUCUGGGAUAUUAGCUUGAGGACCACCCAUGAGGGGUCUCCUGGAGAUUGAGAACUUGGGAGGAACUUGAGAGAUAGUAGUGCUCCUAUAUAGUAGAUGGGGUGGGACCAAAGACAUACUAGCCCUUAGCUCUUAAGUAGUCCACAUCAGAAUUGCUGUGCUAGUGAAUCAGUAUUCUUUUGAAAAAGUAUACCUAAAAUUAUUUCAGCAAAAGGGGAAAAUUUAUGAAGGGCCAGGCUUUCAAGGGUCAGGUUUUAGUUGUAGCUUGAUCCAGCAUUGAGUUUCACAAGGAUACAGUCUCUUUUCAUAGCUUGGAUGUUCUUUCCUCCAUGUUGGCCUUACUCUCCACAGCAUAUAAAAAUGCCACCACAAAUUCUAUGUCUACAUCUCCUUCAAUACAGCUGAAAAGAGAAUAUCUGCUUCUUGAGGCUCUGGAACAUGUCUGGGACUCAUUGUGAGCCAUUGUGGGGUCACUUAUCCAUUCCAAUCCAAUCAUUAUAGCCAGAGGGUUGGCCAAACCUGAUCCAAUCGCUGUGGCUGAGGGGGUUCUGUUUGCCAUUGGCUACCCCAAGUCACUUGUGCAUUCCUGGAGACCAAUUGGAACUCAAGAGCUGGGAGAGAGAAGGGGAGGGAGAGGUUUGUUAUAGUUUAUAUUUAAAUGUCUUUCUAAGACCCCAUGAGAUCAGAGGUGAGGCUUUGGGGAGGAGAUUGGGUAGGUGGGUGUGAUACUAACCAGUGGGCUGGAUGAAUUUAUAGCUAAAUGUGAUAUUGGGAGGUGAAGUCUGGUUGGAGGAGAUGGGUC